rnacentral:rRNA from 1 species
AAACCAACAGGGAUUGCCUUAGUAGCGGCGAGUGAAGCGGCAAAAGCUCAAAUUUGAAAUCUGGCACCUUCGGUGUCCGAGUUGUAAUUUGAAGAUUGUAACCUUGGGGUUGGCUCUGUCUAUGUUUCUUGGAACAGGACGUCACAGAGGGUGAGAAUCCCGUGCGAUGAGAUGCCCAAUCCUAUGUAAGGUGCUUUCGAAGAGUCGAGUUGUUUGGGAAUGCAGCUCUAAGUGGGUGGUAAAUUCCAUCUAAAGCUAAAUAUUGGCGAGAGACCGAUAGCGAACAAGUACAGUGAUGGAAAGAUGAAAAGAACUUUGAAAAGAGAGUGAAAAAGUACGUGAAAUUGUUGAAAGGGAAGGGUUUGAGAUCAGACUCGAUAUUUUGUGAGCCUUGCCUUCGUGGCGGGGUGACCCGCAGCUUAUCGGGCCAGCAUCGGUUUGGGCGGUAGGAUAAUGGCGUAGGUAAUGUGACUUUGCUUCGGUGAAGUGUUAUAGCCUGCGUUGAUGCUGCCUGCCUAGACCGAGGACUGCGAUU